GAUGAACGCUGGCGGCGUGCCUAACACAUGCAAGUCGAACGAAUCAGAUAUUCAACACUGAGUAUUUAGACGAAGGAAAAAAGUUAGCCAGCGUCAAGGACGAACGAUAGAGAGUCCUUUACGCGUUCAAAAAGUGUGCUAACACAUGAUAGUCUGAAUGUUGAGUGUUGAAUAUCUGAUUAGUGGCGGACGGGUGAGUAACGCGUGGGAAACCUGCCCUAUACAGGGGAUAGCCUCGGGAAACUGGGAUUAAUACCCCAUAAAACUCUAGUAUCGCAUGAUACAUGAGCCAAAGAUUUAUCGGUAUAGGAUGGUCCCGCGUCUGAUUAGCUAGUUGGUGAGGUAACGGCUCACCAAGGCGACGAUCAGUAGCCGGCCUGAGAGGGUGAACGGCCACACUGGAACUGAGACACGGUCCAGACUCCUACGGGAGGCAGCAGUGGGGAAUAUUGCACAAGUGGGGGAAACCCUGAUGCAGCGACGCCGC
rnacentral:rRNA from 1 species